UUUAACCCGACAGCGAGUGAUUUUUUGAACCAAUACUCGCAUAUAGGGAGGCGUCCUGUAGCCGGCGUUGAGCAAGCCCACCUUGAAGUGGGAAGCCUGAACCGUCUCAUCUGCCACCCACUUGAACCUCAGGGUUCAAAAUCUGGACUGUCGGGCUCCUC
rnacentral:other from 1 species